rnacentral:rRNA from 1 species
GAUUGCAGGCUGCAACUCGCCUGCAUGAAGUUGGAAUUGCUAGUAAUCGCGGAUCAGCAUGCCGCGGUGAAUACGUUCCCGGGCCUUGUACACACCGCCCGUCACACCAUGGGAGCCGGUAAUACCCGAAGUCAGUAGCCUAACCGCAAGGGGGGCGCUGCCGAAGGUAGGAUUGGCGACUGGGGUGAAGUCGUAACAAGGUACC